rnacentral:rRNA from 1 species
AAGACCUUGCGCUUUUGGAGCGGCCGAUGCCUGAUUAGCUUGUUGGUAAGGUAAAAGCUUACCAAGGCUUCGAUCAGUAGCUGGUCUGAGAGGACGGCCAGCCGCACUGGGACUGAGACACGGCCCAGACUCCUACGGGAGGCAGCAGUGGGGAAUUUUGGACAAUGGGGGCAACCCUGAUCCAGCCAUGCCGCGUGAGUGAAGAAGGCCUUCGGGUUGUAAAGCUCUUUCAGCCGGAACGAAACGGUUACGGUUAAUACCCGUGACUACUGACGGUACCGGAAGAAGAAGCACCGGCUAACUACGUGCCAGCAGCCGCGGUAAUACGUAGGGUGCGAGCGUUAAUCGGAAUUACUGGGCGUAAAGCGUGCGCAGGUGGUUUUGUAAGUCAGAUGUGAAAGCCCCGGGCUCAACCUGGGAACU